UAUAGGCAGUGGCUUGGUUAAGAGAACGGAACCCACCGGAGCCAUAGCGAAAGCGAGUCUUCAUAGGGCGAUUGUCACUGCUUAUGGACCCGAACCUAGGUGAUCUAUCCAUGAUCAGGAUGAAGCUUGGAUGAAACUAAGCAGAGAUCCGUAUUACUAUAUUUUCCAUACCAGGAUAAGUUAACUUACCCAACCUCAAAACGAACACGGCCGUACGG
rnacentral:ncRNA from 1 species